rnacentral:rRNA from 1 species
GAUGAACGCUGGCGGCGUGCUUAACACAUGCCAGUCGAACGGACAGGCCUCUUUCGGGGGGUACUCGAGUGGCGAACGGGCGAGUAACACGUGAGUAAACUGCCCUCGUAUUUGGGAUAACUACAGGAAACAGGGGCUAAUAACGGCUAGGAGAUACUGCUGAAUGGUGGGGGCAGGAAUGAAUCGGCGGUUGGGGAUGGACUAGCGGUGUAUCAGCUUGUUGGUGGGGAAGUGGCUUACCAAGGCGUUGACGGGGAGACGGCCUGUGGGGGUGACCGGCCACAUUGGGACUGAGGGACGGCCCAGACUCCUACGGGAGGCAGCAGGGGGGAAUAUUGCACAAUGGGUGGAAGCCUGAUGCAGCAACGCCGUGGGCGGGAUGACGGCCUUCGGGUUGUAAACCGCUUUCGCUCAUGACGAAGCUUGUUGUGACGGUAGUUGGUAAAGAAGCACCGGCUAACUACGUG